rnacentral:rRNA from 1 species
GCUGGCGGCAGGCCUACACAUGCAAGUCGAACGGAGUUAUAUUGUAGCUUGCUAUGGUAUAACUUAGUGGCAGACGGGUGAGUAAUGUAUAGGAAUCUACCUAGUAGUACGGAAUAAUUGUUGGAAACGGCAACUAAUACCGUAUACGCCCUACGGGGGAAAAAUUUAUUGCUAUUAGAUGAGCCUAUAUUAGAUUAGCUAGUUGGUGGAGUAAUAGCCUACCAAGGCAAUGAUCUAUAGCUGAUCUGAGAGGAUGAUCAGCCACACUGGAACUGAGAUACGGUCCAGACUCCUACGGGAGGCAGCAGUGGGGAAUAUUGGACAAUGGGCGAAAGCCUGAUCCAGCCAUGCCGCAUGAGUGAAGAAGGCCUUUGGGUUGUAAAGCUCUUUUAGUGAGGAAGAUAAUGACGGUACUCACAGAAGAAGUCCUGGCUAACUCCGUGCCAGCAGCCGCGGUAAUACGGAGAGGGCUAGCGUUAUUCGGAAUUAUUGGGCGUAAAGGGCGCGUAGGCGGAUUAGUAAGUUAAAAGUGAAAUCCCAAGGCUCAACCUUGGAAUUGCUUUUAAAACUGCUAAUCUAGAGAUUGAAAGAGGAUAGAGGAAUUCCUAGUGUAGAGGUGAAAUUCGUAAAUAUUAGGAGGAACACCAGUGGCGAAGGCGUCUAUCUGGUUCAAAUCUGACGCUGAAGCGCGAAGGCGUGGGGAGCAAACAGGAUUAGAUACCCUGGUAGUCCACGCUGUAAACGAUGAAUGUUAAAUAUGGGGAAGUUUUACUUUCUGUAU